GAGCCAUUAGGUCAGUUGGUAGAGCAUCUGACUUUUAAUCAGAGGGUCGAAGGUUCGAGUCCUUCAUGGCUCACCA
rnacentral:tRNA from 1 species